UACAGAGGGUGCGAGCGUUGUUCGGAAUUAUUGGGCGUAAAGGGCGCGUAGGCGGCGCGGUAUGUCACCUGUGAAAUCUCCUGGCUCAACUGGGAGCUUGCAGGCGAAACUGCCGUGCUGGAGUGUGGGAGAGGUGCGUGGAAUUCCUGGUGUAGCGGUGAAAUGCGUAGAUAUCAGGAGGAACACCUGUGGCGAAAGCGGCGCACUGGACCACAACUGUCGCUGAGGCGCGAAAGCUAGGGGAGCAAACAGG
rnacentral:rRNA from 1 species